rnacentral:lncRNA from 1 species
UGAAAAUGCACUUGGUAAUCGUUUACCAUGAGGUGGUAAACGAUUACGUGAGUGAAAUGGGCUUUUUGUACAGAGAGUCCUUCACAGGGCACCCAUUUUUUGCACACAGGACACCAUUUGUGUUAAAUCUUCACUUGUGGUCAUAAUUGGUGAGGUUCUUGAUGAUUUGUGGAUAAGGAUGUGUGUUGGGGUAUGAUAGGUCAUUUUGGGGAAACCCAUUUCCUUGUAGGAGGGUCUUAUGUUGGGUGAUAGUGGUGGGAUGAAGUUAUGAGUGAAUUGCUGUGAAAAAGCACUUGGUAAUCGUUUACCAUGAGGUGGUAAACGAUUACGCGAAUGAAAUGGGAUUUUUGUACAGAAAGUCCUUCACAGGGCACCCAUUUUUUGUACACAGGACACCA